rnacentral:rRNA from 1 species
GAUGAACGCUAGCUACAGGCUUAACACAUGCAAGUCGCGGGGCAGCAUGGGGGUUGCUUGCAAUCCCCGAUGGCGACCGGCGCACGGGUGAGUAACGCGUAUUCAACCUGCCCUUCACCACGGGAUAACCCGGCGAAAGUCGGACUAAUACCGUAUGUUGUCCAUUGACGGCAUCCGAUUUGGACGAAAGUCUUGGCGUUGAGGGAUGGGGAUGCGUCCGAUUAGCCAGACGGCGGGGUAACGGCCCACCGUGGCUACGAUCGGUAGGGGUUCUGAGAGGAAGGUCCCCCACACUGGAACUGAGACACGGUCCAGACUCCUACGGGAGGCAGCAGUGAGGAAUAUUGGUCAAUGGGCGUAAGCCUGAACCAGCCAAGUAGCGUGCAGGAUGACGGCCCGAUGGGUUGUAAACUGCUUUUAUGAGGGGAUAAAGUGGCCCACGUGUGGGCUUUUGCAGGUACCGCAUGAAUAAGGACCGGCUAAUUCCG